GCAACGCGAAGAACCUUACUGGUCUUGACAUCCCGGAGACCCUUAGGAAACUAGGGGUGCUUCCAUCUGGAAGAAUCUGGAGACAGGUGCUGCAUGGCUGUCGUCAGCUCGUGUCGUGAGAUGUUGGGUUAAGUCCCGCAACGAGCGCAACCCUUGCCUUUAGUUGCCAGCAGUUCGGCUGGGCACUCUAAAGGGACUGCCGGUGUUAAACCGGAGGAAGGUGGGGAUGACGUCAAGUCCUCAUGGCCUUUAUGACCAGGGCUACACACGUACUACAAUGGCCGAUACAAAGGGCAGCGACACUGCGAGGUGAAGCCAAUCCCGUAAAAUCGGUCUCAGUCCGGAUUGGAGUCUGCAACUCGACUCCAUGAAGUUGGAAUCGCUAGUAAUCGUGGAUCAGCAUGCCACGGUGAAUACGUUCCCGGGCCUU
rnacentral:rRNA from 1 species